rnacentral:rRNA from 1 species
AUUGAACGCUGGCGGCAGGCCUAACACAUGCAAGUCGAGCGGUAGAGAGGUGCUUGCAUCUCUUGAGAGCGGCGGACGGGUGAGUAAUGCCUAGGAAUCUGCCUAGUGGUGGGGGAUAACGUUCGGAAACGGACGCUAAUACCGCAUACGUCCUACGGGAGAAAGCGGGGGAUCUUCGGACCUCGCGCCAUUAGAUGAGCCUAGGUCGGAUUAGCUAGUUGGUGAGGUAAUGGCUCACCAAGGCGACGAUCCGUAACUGGUCUGAGAGGAUGAUCAGUCACACUGGAACUGAGACACGGUCCAGACUCCUACGGGAGGCAGCAGUGGGGAAUAUUGGACAAUGGGCGAAAGCCUGAUCCAGCCAUGCCGCGUGUGUGAAGAAGGUCUUCGGAUUGUAAAGCACUUUAAGUUGGGAGGAAGGGUAGUAACCUAAUACGUUGCUACUUUGACGUUACCGACAGAAUAAGCACGGCUAACUU